GAUGAACGCUGGCGGCGUGCUUAACACAUGCAAGUCGAACGGUGAAGCAGGAGCUUGCUCUUGUGGAUCAGUGGCGAACGGGUGAGUAACACGUGAGCAACCUGCCCCUGACUCUGGGAUAAGCGCUGGAAACGGCGUCUAAUACUGGAUAUGUGAUGUGACCGCAUGGUCUGCAUCUGGAAAGAAUUUCGGUUGGGGAUGGGCUCGCGGCCUAUGAGCUUGUUGGUGAGGUAAUGGCUCACCAAGGCGGAGACGGGUAGCCGGCCUGUGAGGGGGACCGGCCAAAAUGGGACUGAGACACGGCCCAAACUCCAAGGGGAGGCAGCAGUGGGGAAUAUUGCAUAAGGUGCGGAAGCAUGAUGCAGCAACGCCGCGUGAGGGAUGACGGCCUUCGGGUUGUAAACCUCUUUUAGCAGGGAAGAAGCGAAAGUGACGGUACCUGCAGAAAAAGCACCGGCUAACUACGUGCCAGCAGCCGCCGUAA
rnacentral:rRNA from 1 species